GAAACUCGGAUUAAUACCGAAUACCCUCAACGGACCGCAUGGUCUGAUGAGGAAAUGGUCCGCCGCUCCAGGAUGGUCUCGCGGCCUAUCAGCUUGUUGGUGAGGUAAAGGCUCACCAAGGCUCCGACGGGUAGCUGGUCUGAGAGGACGAUCAGCCACACUGGGACUGAGACACGGCCCAGACUCCUACGGGAGGCAGCAGCAGGGAAUAUUGCACAAUGGGCGAAAGCCUGAUGCAGCGACGCCGCGUGCGGGAUGAAGGCCUUCGGGUUGUAAACCGCUUUCAGGAGGGACGAAAAUGACGGUACCUCCAGAAGAAGGCCCGGCCAACUACGUGCCAGCAGCCGCGGUAAUACGUAGGGGCCAAGCGUUGUCCGGAUUUAUUGGGCGUAAAGGGCUCGUAGGCGGUUUGACAAGUCGGUCGUGAAAACCCGGGGCUCAACCCCGGGACGCCGGUCGAAACUGUCAUGACUAGGGUCCGGUAGAGGUGAGUGGAAUUCUCAGUGUAGCGGUGAAAUGCGCAGAUAUUGAGAGGAACACCAGUAGCGAAGGCGGCUCACU
rnacentral:rRNA from 1 species